UACGUAGGGGGCAAGCGUUGUCCGGAAUCAUUGGGCGUAAAGAGCGUGUAGGCGCCAGAAAAGUCCGCUGUGAAAACUCGAGGCUCAACUUCGAGCUGUCGGUGGAAACUUUCUGGCUAGAGUCCGGAAGAGGAGAAUGGAAUUCCUGGUGUAGCGGUGAAAUGCGCAGAUAUCAGGAGGAACACCGGUGGCGAAGGCGGUUCUCUGGGCAUUACCUGACGCUGAGGAGCGAAAGCAUGGGGAGCGAACAGG
rnacentral:rRNA from 1 species